UACGGAGGAUGCAAGCGUUAUCCGGAUUCAUUGGGUUUAAAGGGUGCGUAGGCGGGACGGUAAGUCAGGGGUGAAAGCCGGCAGCUCAACUGUUGAAUUGCCUUUGAUACUGCCGUUCUUGAGUGUGGAUGAAGUGGGCGGAAUUUGGCAUGUAGCGGUGAAAUGCGUAGAUAUGCCAAAGAACACCGAUUGCGAAGGCAGCUCACUAAACCAUUACUGACGCUGAGGCACGAAAGCGUGGGGAGCAAACAGG
rnacentral:rRNA from 1 species